ACUCAAAUGAAUAGACGGGGGCCCGCACAAGCGGUGGAGUAUGUGGUUUAAUUCGACGCAACGCGAAGAACCUUACCAAGGCUUGACAUGGAGCCGGCCGGGGCAGAGAUGCCCCUUCCCUUCGGGGCGGCUCACACAGGUGGUGCAUGGUUGUCGUCAGCUCGUGUCGUGAGAUGUUGGGUUAAGUCCCGCAACGAGCGCAACCCUUGCUAUUAGUAGCCAGCAGUUCGGCUGGGCACUCUAAUGGGACUGCCGCGGAUAACGCGGAGGAAGGCGGGGAUGACGUCAAAUCAUCAUGCCCCUUAUGUCUUGGGCUACACACGUACUACAAUGGAUGAGGACAAAGUGAUGCAAUCGCGCAAGCGUGAGCAAAGCACAAAAAAGCAUCCUCAGUUCGGAUCGCGGUCUGCAACCCGACCGCGUGAAGUCGGAAUCGCUAGUAAUCGCGAAUCAGCAUGUCGCGGUGAAUACGUUCCCGGGCCUUGCACACACCGCCCGU
rnacentral:rRNA from 1 species